rnacentral:misc_RNA from 1 species
UCUCCGUAGGUGAACCUGCGGAGGGAUCAUUACUGAGUGAGGGUCUCCGGGCCCGACCUCCAACCCUUUUGUGAACCACCUCGUUGCUUCGGGGGCGACCCUGCCGUUCGCGGCGUGGGGCCCCCGGAGGCUCAUCAAACACUGCAUCUUUGCGUCGGAGUUUAAACAAAUUAAACAAAACUUUCAACAACGGAUCUCUUGGUUCGGGCAUCGAUGAAGAACGCAGC